GGCUCUUUGCAAAAAUCCCAUAGGGAGUCUUCCCUGCCCAGUGAUGUAUUUAUUUAACGGCCGCGGUACUCUGACCGUGCGAAGGUAGCAUAAUAAUUUGUCCUAUAAUUGGGGACUGGAAUGAAUGGUUUGACGAAAGUAAUACUGUCUCUUUUUAAUUUAAUAGAAUUUUACUUUUAGGUGAAAAGGCCUAAUUUUUAUUAUUAGACAAGAAGACCCUAUCGAGCUUAUAAGAAUUUUUAUGGUCUAAAGUUUAUAUUUAUAAAUAAAUUUCCAUAAAGAAUUUUUGGUUGGGGCGACUAAGGAACAAAAAAAGCUUCCUUUAUAAAAGAAAACUUACGGGUUUUGAUCCAGUUUUACUGAUUAAAGGAAAUAGUUACCGUAGGGAUAACAGCAUUAUCUUUUUUGAGAGUUCUUAUUGAAAAGAAGGUUUGUGACCUCGAUGUUGAAUCAGAAUAUCCUGAAGAUGCAGAAGUCUUUAAUGGUGGGUCUGUUCGACCAUUAAAAAUUCU
rnacentral:rRNA from 1 species